rnacentral:misc_RNA from 1 species
CAACCCUCAAGCCCUGCUUGGUGUUGGGGUCCUACAUCACUGUAGGCCCUGAAAACUAGUGGCGGGCUCGCUAUAACUCCGAGCGUAGUAGUAAUAUCUCGUUUAGGAAGUGUAGCGGGUUCUGGCCGUUAAACCCCCAAUUUUAUAA